CCUUGCUCUCUUUACAUACGUCGUGGACGGUGUGUUUCCUUAACGUGUAUCAGGGGGAAACCCAUCGAUUUUAAGAGUUGCAUUCGGUAUCGAAAUGAACGCGUGACAAUUGAGCUACUUCGUACUGCACGCUCGUGCACUGCCACCGCACUCACCUACGGUGAUGGCGCAACCGUGACGUCAGAGCCCAUCUCUGGAACCCGGCCAACACGGGAGCGUUCAACGUAUAUAUAAGCUUUUCCUGUAGCCGCGACGACGCAAUUUGCUCGCUGCGAGUGUAUGCGCGUGCCGUCAAUUCCAAUGCCUAUGAUGACCACCCUCAGAGUUGGCAGAUUGCGCCUCUGCACGUUCGCUGUCAUAACGGUGCUGCUGGUGCUAGCCGCAUUCACGGAAGUGCAGGCGCGUUGUCCUUCCAGGCGGCCGGGUCAGUUGAGCGACUGCGCCUACACCGUGUGCACCCCAUCGGAGUGCGCCGCCAAGGGUCUGGAGUGCUGCCCGAAACCGUGUGGAGGGAGCUGGUGUGUCAGAGGCACAGGUCCUCGUCUGAAUACCCGGAGACCUGCCCGCCAGCGUUUAAUUGGGCCAGGAACUGUCCAAUUCUAAAGAGUAACGCGACUUGAAAACAACUGAAUUGCUCCAGGCUGGGAUACGCCUGCUGCAGCAGCAAUGGCUGAAAGGAAAAGUAUUGGUACCAAAUACCGUGGACUUUAUUCUGACGGAUUCGCUCACUUCUAGGCACGCAAAGCCAAUACUCGAGACGUCAUCGGAAUAAACAAAUGGCGUGCAGGGGCUGACUUGCUCGUCGGCCUUCCUCACGCCAGGCAUGUUGUA